GACGAACGCUGGCGGCGUGCUUAACACAUGCAAGUCGAACGGUAAGGCCCCUUCGGGGGUACACGAGUGGCGAACGGGUGAGUAACACGUGAGCAACCUGCCCUUGACUCUGGAAUAACAGUUGGAAACAGCUGCUAAUACUGGAUAUUCAUCGUCUCCUUCCUGGGGGGUGGUGGAAAGCUCCGGCGGUCAGGGAUGGGCUCGCGGCCUAUCAGCUUGUUGGUGAGGUAAUGGCUCACCAAGGCUUCGACGGGUAGCCGGCCUGAGAGGGGGACCGGCCACACUGGGACUGAGAUACGGCCCAGACUCCUACGGGAGGCAGCAGUGGGGAAUAUUGCACAAUGGGCGCAAGCCUGAUGCAGCAACGCCGCGUGCGGGAUGACGGCCUUCGGGUUGUAAACCGCUUUCAGUAGGGACGAAGGGUGACUGACGGUACCUACAGAAGAAGGACCGGCUAACUACGUG
rnacentral:rRNA from 1 species